GACAGAGGUGCCAAGCGUUAGGCGGAAUCACUGGGCUUAAAGCGUGUGUAGGCGGAUGUCUAAGUACCUUGUGAAAUCCCACGGCUCAACCGUGGAACUGCUGGGCAUACUGGACAUCUCGAGGCACUCAGGGGCGAGCGGAACAAGUGGUGGAGCGGUGAAAUGCGUAGAUAUCACUUGGAACGCCAAUGGUGAAGACAGCUCGCUGGGGGUGUCCUGACGCUGAGGCGCGAAAGCCAGGGGAGCGAACGGG
rnacentral:rRNA from 1 species